rnacentral:sRNA from 1 species
GCCAGAUGUGAUGAUACACAUCUGUAAUCCCAGCUACUUAGGAGGCUGAGGCAGGAAGCUAGGGCAAGUUGGAGGCUAGCCUGGGCAAUGUAAUUAGACCCUGUCUCAA